rnacentral:lncRNA from 1 species
UAGGCAUUAGCAGAGCUGGGAUUCAAAUGAAGAUUAUCCAACUGGAGAAAUGAUUAUUUUUCACAUGUGAAUUUUAGUAUGUUCCCUCCCAACUUGGAAACAUCACUUUGGAGAAAUCAAAUGGAAUAGCCUUCAGAGUCCUGUCCAGUUGGAAGAGUAGAAGUGGAACUUUAGACUCCAAAUUCAGUAUUCAUUCAACUAUGCCAUAUUACCUACCUGUGGACACAAACACUGAAAGAGAAGCUAAAAUGUUGAUGGAAAUGGUUCAAUUUCAAAUGAUUGACUCACUUAGAGCCUGCUUCUCUGAAUUCCUAGUUCAUCAACAAAUGGAAAAUGACCUCUGGACUAGGAAGGAUAAAAAACAACUGUGGUUUCCAGGGAGUG